UAUUAGAAAACUUCUUUUUUCUCCAAAAUUUCACUGUGCCUAAAUGUCUAAAGUAAAAUGAUCUGGAUAUAGAAAUCUAGAAGCCCAGGCCCAAUACCAGUUACCAAAAUCUGGCUAAUCUGAAUUUGUUCCAACCUCACCUGGAUAUUUUCCCGGCCUGCUGUAAAGCCACAGGGACCUUCUCACAAAAAGACAGAGCUGGGAUCUCAUGUAAGGCAAGAUGGCCGCAAGCUCAUCAUAUUUUCCUGAGGAUGACCUUGAGGCACUCCUUGGGGACACACAGGCCUCUCCUGUCAGAGAAGCAGAUAAUGGCUCAGCAGAGUAAAGCCAUGUGGGAUAUCCUAUCACAGAGAGAAUAAGCACAGUCAGAAAAACACCAUGCAGCUGCCAAGGAGAAAGAUGCCUGCCAGAACCUUACUGAUGGGAACUUUUACGUACCUGCUACAACCACUUUGCCUCCUACAAUACUAUGUCUCCUAGCAAUGAUGGCCUCACAUCUUUUGGAAUGAAUAAAAAAAUGCUAAAGUUGGAGUAUAUGUGCAAAGUCAAGGAGCUUUUUGAGAUCAUCUGUAGUCUCUCUGUUGUUAAGGAUUGAGGUGAUAGUUAGCAGAGAGAUGACAUCGAGGAUCCUGCACUGUGAACCUGCUUAGUGGAUUCCGUGGACGGUGUUCUCCAGGUAUCCUUGACCCUCCUGGCUUCUUCAAUUCUCCAACUUCUUCUUCUCUUGUUUAUGAAAAAAAACUCUUAAAUUGAUAAACAUGUGCCUAAAUACUCAUAUGACAUUGUUAAAAAAUUGAUUUCCCCCUUCCAACCAUUGUUGUAUUCCACACUGUGUGGUAGUCUCAUCUACCGGAAGUGUAUUUCUUCUCUUCUAGAUAAGGUUUAAAAUAUUUUAAUUUAAUUAAUUUUGACUGACAUUAAUAUUAAUCACAUA